rnacentral:rRNA from 1 species
AGCGAACGCUGGCGGCAGGCUUAAUACAUGCAAGUCGAGCGCCUGUAGCAAUACAGGAGCGGCAGACGGGAGAGUAACACGUGGGAACGUGCCCUUUGGUUCGGAACAACACAGGGAAACUUGUGCUAAUACCGGAUAAGCCCUUACGGGGAAAGAUUUAUUGCCAAAGGAUCGGCCCGCGUCUGAUUAGCUAGUUGGUGGGGUAAUGGCCCACCAAGGCGACGAUCAGUAGCNGGUCUGAGAGGAUGAUCAGCCUCAUUGGGACUGAGACACGGCCCAAACUCCUACGGGAGGCAGCAGUAGGGAAUAUUGGACAAUGGGCGCAAGCCUGAUCCAGCCAUGCCGCGUGAGUGAUGAAGGCCUUAGGGUUGUAAAGCUC